AUGGCGCAAGAGAGUUGGAAAGAGGCAGAGGAUACGGGUGUCCACGCGCCCGAGGCUCCGAUAAUGUGCAUCAACAACUGUGGCUUCUUCGGGAACCGGAUGACAGAGAACAUGUGCUCAAAGUGUUACCGAGACACUGUCAAGGCCAAGAGCAUGGCCCUUCUAGCAAUGGUGGCAGAGAUCAAGGAUGAAGCGUCUGCCUCAGCCAAAGAAGGAAAACGAGUAGCCGAGGAAGAGGCGCCGAAGCCACCCAGCAACCGCUGCCUGUCGUGCCGGAAGAAGGUCGGGCUGACGGGGUUCAAGUGCCGCUGCGGAGACACCUUCUGCUCGAUGCACCGCUACGCCGACGCGCACGAUUGCAAGUUCGACUACAAGCAGGCCGGCAGGGAGCAGAUCGCCCAGCAGAACCCGGUCGUCAAGGCUGACAAGGUCACCAGAUUCUGA
rnacentral:rRNA from 1 species